rnacentral:rRNA from 1 species
UACGUAGGUGGCAAGCGUUGUCCGGAGUUAUUGGGCGUAAAGCGCGCGCAGGCGGUGCGGUAAGUCUAUGGUGAAAGCGCUCGGCUUAACUGGGCGAGGGCCGUGGAGACUGCCGGACUGGAGGGGAGCAGAGGCGAGUGGAAUUCCGGGUGUAGUGGUGAAAUGCGUAGAGAUCCGGAGGAACACCGACGGCGUAGGCAGCGCCCUGGCUGUGAAUAAAGCUGACACUGAGGCACGAAAGCUGGGGGAGCAAACAGG